GAUGAACGCUGGCGGCGUGCCUAAUACAUGCAAGUCGAGCGAACAGACGAGGAGCUUGCUCCUCUGACGUUAGCGGCGGACGGGUGAGUAACACGUGGAUAACCUACCUAUAAGACUGGGAUAACUUCGGGAAACCGGAGCUAAUACCGGAUAAUAUAUUGAACCGCAUGGUUCAAUAGUGAAAGACGGUUUUGCUGUCACUUAUAGAUGGAUCCGCGCCGCAUUAGCUAGUUGGUAAGGUAACGGCUUACCAAGGCAACGAUGCGUAGCCGACCUGAGAGGGUGAUCGGCCACCCUGGAACUGAGACACGGUCCAGACUCCUACGGGAGGCAGCAGUAGGGAAUCUUCCGCAAUGGGCGAAAGCUUGACGGAGCAACGCCGCGGGAGUGAUGAAGGUCUUCGGAUCGUAAAACUCUGUUAUUAGGGAAGAACAAAUGUGUAAGUAACUAUGCACGUCUUGACGGUACCUAAUCAGAAAGCCACGGCUAACUACGUG
rnacentral:rRNA from 1 species